CUGGGGACAUUUAUAUCUGAAUCUCAAAACCUGACUCCUAAAAGCAUGAAGAGUGAUGACAGCAAAAAAACAGAAUUCGGAAGGCAGCAGGGCUUCCUAGGCAGGCAUGGCCCCAUCCUGGUGGACGGGAUCCCAGUCAGAGAAAGCAAGUAUGUGAAUCAUCCUGCAACAUAUCAGCUUAAGGCAACAAAGGAAAAAUAGUCCAUGGGAAGAUGAAAAUAAAAUGCCUAUUAAAAUUGACUCUUUAGGAAUAUGUUGGUUUCAUAGACAGAGACAUGGCAUGUCACACCAUGGGCCAUGAACUUACGAGUAGCUAGUAACAUGGGAUCAGAUGGAGGAAAUGAAGGCGACAAAAGGAUGCGUCUCUUGAAGCAAAAAAAUAAUCAUGGCAACACUUCAUUCAUGGUUACAACAAGAUCAUCUGACUCCAAUGAUAAUCAGCCAGUCCACAGGAUCACCAUUAGCUCAGUCCGUGAAACACCUGAACAAAUGCCAAAGGAACUUGGAUGUAUUCCUCAUUCUGCAUUUUCUUUAUUUUUUUCAUUUAAACAUCUGUUUUCCCAUGUUGACAUAUGAGCUCAUAACUUACAGAACAAAGACAGCCCAGGCCUUCAUGCAAUGGCAUGCCUGUGUAGGAAGAGAAUUCCAAUGCCAGUUUUACCAGACUCUUGGACAAGCACAGAUGGCAGGAGCGAUGGAUUCGUAGAUCUACAUUCAGCAGAUGCAAAAGAACACAAUUUGGGGCUAUUUUUCUCACAGUGUGUUGUACUGAGGUAAAAACUGUGUGUUGUCUGUAUAGCACAGGAAUGGACAAGUGUUCCUGCUGCCUGGUUCGAGGGGCAGGCUGAGGAGGACAGGGAGUUAUGAUCCCUAUGUUCCAGACAAAUGGAAUCCCCUGUAGAGUGACAGAUGGUGCUUCAGCUUCUCCACUGCCUCAGCAUCUGUGCAGCACAUCUGGCCAGCUGCUGCUUAAAAGGACAAGGACACCUUCCUAUCACACCUUCCAAAUUUCUCUCAAACAUUUUCUUGUACUGAUUAUCUUUGCUACUCAACAAUGAAUGAGGCUGGAGAGCUAAACCAGCACCCAACUGUUUGCAUUUUCCAGUGCUGGUUUUCUGCUAAAUUGGCCUCCUGAUCCAGCUCCCUGUGAGUGGUCAUGGACAUUUCACUGCAGUUGGGAUGAGCCUCUGCAUCUCCAGGGUUGACCCCAGGCCACCAGGAUAUGCAGAAACCUUCAGCACUUCGGGACUGAUGCUGGUUCUCCAAACUCUCACCCUACAAACAAACUGCUUCUCACCAGCACCUUUCUCCCAGACAAUCUGACAGGAUCAGAAAGGAUUUCCCAUCCGCAGUGUCAGGGAUCUUCUGUGACAGGAAUGCACAGCCUUGCUGGGAUGAGUGGAGAUGAAAGCCACCUCCAUGAAGGCUCGGGACCUUCUGACUGAUGCUUGUGUUCACCAAACAAGCAUUUCCACACUAUGAUUAAUUGUGUUGUCUCAUCAAUGAAGUAAUGCUGCUGUUGUGUUCUGGUUCAGGGUUCUUCUGAAGAGCUUCUCUCUCCUCUGUGAGGGUGCUGGGAGGUCUUGUUGUAUGCUCUUGCAGAAAGUGAUGGCAGCACUUGGCCCCUAGCAGGAGCAUCGGUCCAGAUGUCUACAUCUUCAGUCAUAUAUAUAUGGAACCAUAGAAACCUAUGAAGCUGCUUUUAGCAGGCCCUGCAGAAAUUCAACUAGAUGCUGUCCCUGCCCUAAGAGACUUGCAGUCUAAUCUGGGAGAAGAUCAAAUGGAAAAGGAAAAAGAAAAACAUUAAAUAAUAACAGCAAAUGUUUAUAUAGCUGCUUGCACAACACAGUAACUAUAAGGAGCUACAGUCUUAAAGAUUCAAACAAAAUUAACUAUUAAGAGGAAGCACUCUGUAUUUGCACAGAGAAUCCAGGGAAGAUUUUGAGAAACCAAGAUGAUGACACAGUAGACGCAGACCUUCAAAGUUUUCAGGUACCUAUCUCCCAUGGGAGCUACCAGUGGAAGGGAAUGUGGUUGUCUGAUGAUUGCAGUGCUUUGCAGUACGGCUGAGAAACUCAAGCCCAACUCUAUGCAAUCUCGGGUACUGCGACAAGAGUGCUCCCUCUCCUACUACAUCCAACUGGAUUCAGACUGCAUUUUUCAUACUUGUGCUAAAUCACAACAGGGCUCAGACUGCCCUUUCUCCACCACUCCUUGCUCCUGUGUAUACUCAAUCUGGGAAAUACUGUACAUAAAGUUCCAGCAAUGCGGGGAUAGAGGAACUUUGUGCUUAGGAGAUCUCACGCCUAAAUCAAAAGUCCAGGACACAGCCAAUUUCCAAGUUACUUUUAAAAAUCAGAUAGUGUAAGCAAAUUUAUGUAAAGUAAUGCUGAUUGUAAUCCCACAGAGUAGAACUGCCAGCAGUGCUAAAUCAGAUUUAAACCUCAAUAGUUCCUCUUUCUUACCGCUGUUUUCCUGCUUUAUUCUUUCAUGCCUCGGUCUGUAUAGAUGAACAGAGCAGGAAUGAUAAAUGUGUUACAUAUAGCACUAUUUAUGCCACAUCAGGCUUAUACGUUUUCAUUCUAGAAGAAAGAAAAACUACCUCUCCUAAGAUCAAGAGGAUUGUUGUUUUACUUUAUGCAUGAAAACAUUCAUGUUUCAGACAGCCAAUGCCUACAGCAAUGAAGAGGGAAGAAGGGAAGAUAAGAAGGGGCUUAGGCAUUCAAGCUUUAUCUUUUUCCCUUCCUUUGUCUUUCUCUCCUUCCAGACACACAAAAAGUAAGGAGCACUCAACAAUUAGCUCUUAACAAACCAGACCAAAACCCAAACAAAUCUCCUAAUCCUUAUCAGAGAGAUGACACAGCAACACAGUAUGUAUAGAAGAAUGAAGAAAAUAUUUUGCAAGUAUACUGGCUCCUGAGAAGGCAUUUUAUGACGGGUUGUCACUUGCUGCCAAUUCUUCACAAAAAUCAUAUUGCACAAGAAACUGUGUGAUGCGAGAAGAUCAACAAUGUAUCCCCUGCCACCUGAGUCCCCCAUCUGACUGCACGUAUAACCUAGAAUAGAAAAGCUGUUUGUCUUCUUAUCCAUCUUUGAAGUCUAGCAGUUCAACGUUACAUACUGAAGGCAGGCAUUAAUAAACACUUAAUGUCAUAUGUCACACUGGCCUGAAAGUAGGACUUUGAAAAGUGUUAAAUGUUAUCCUGGAGAUAUUCAUCCCUGCUAGUUACAAAGCAGGAGGAAACAGGACUUGCUCAUGGCUUCAAUUCUUAGCCUUUGGCAUAUAUCUCAGAGGAAAUACCUUUAUUUCAAAAGCAAAUUCUGAAACUCUUAUUCUGAUUAAAUUGUCUUCAGCAUAAACAGCUGCUGUGUCAUUCAAGUUUAUGCUGGAUACUCAAUGGAAAAGUCCUUCACAGUUGUUUGUGGUUAUUUUCGGUGGAUGAAAUGGGUUCAACAGUAAGCAUGGGUAGAACUUCUAUCCACACAGUAGUAACAGCAAUAGUAAUAAUAUAAAUAAAACAUCAUCUGCUAUUAUCUAGUUUUGCCAAGAAACUUCUUAUCAGAAUUAAGAAUUUCCAGAUCUGUUUAUUUCUAGGUGUUCGUGGAGUACUUCAAUAUAUAUGUUAAACAUCAGAGUAACAUUUCUGUUCAGGAGUGAUGAUACUGCCUAGGAAUUACCUCUAUGCUUUCAGAAGUUGGUCAUUCUCUGAAGAGAGUCCUGAAGACAAGAUCAGAAACAAUAAUGAAGAAAACUUAAAAUAAAAGGUUGGAAUGAAAUGGCCUCCUGGAUGACCAUGCAACAAGAUCCAGACAGCAAAGAAAAAAAAUCAAACCCUCAAUCAAAAAAAAUCAUGAUACUGUUAUAGUUUCCUUAGCAUAGCAUGCCAAGGACCCCAAGCAAAAAUAGUUCUGGUUUUCUCAGCUGAAUGGCUCCUGAAAAAAAGUCUAGAUGUACAGAAAGGAAAUUGGAUAUAAUUCCUGCAGAGGAUGGGCUUUGAUACCACAGCUCAGAUAUGGAAAAUAAUUCAAAGUGUACGAGAGAGGUCACAGAAUUUUGACUGCAGAUAUCUAGCUAUCUCCUACUAUUUCUUUUGCCCUGUCUUUCUCCAGCUGGAAUAUUUCUCUUAAGCAAUGGACAGGAAAUAAUACAAUGAAACACGUUACUGAAAUCAGAGUUCUCUGUCAGCUUCUUACACCAUGAGGUGAACUUCAUUGUAACUCCUCAGACUUUCUGGACUUAAAUAAGGGAGAGAGGGAAUUAAUGAGUACAGUAGGAAGAAUGACAGUAAAAAUAGACUCACUUUCAAGAGUUACUGUGAAGUACAUCAGGGUUUGAAAUUUGCUAUAUAUUGGCCAGGCUUGUAUGAGUUGCCCCCGUUAAAAAAAACACCCAAUUGAAUUCUGGUCUGAAAGAAUUCAGAUCUUAAUUUACAUUGUCAGUAGCAAUUCAUGUGAUUCAGUAACAGGAAAUGUUUGUACUCAAAUGCCAUAAACAAGCCCUACUAAGAAAAGUUUGUUUUCAACAGCUAGAUCGCUUAUCUUUGCUUAGCAUAAGUAUUUUUUUCAAGAAAUCAUAAAGAGAAACAUACAUCUAGGAAUUCUGCACUGCAUAAAAACAUAAAUAUGCCAGACUUUAACUGUGCUUUAAUCAAGAUCAUUUUGAAAUAUACGUACAUUAAAGAUUUAGCUCCUGUUUUAUUGGUGUUCCGGGUCCCACGGCUGACGUGCUGAGCAGGGUGUCGGGGUUGCAUUGGAUGAGCAGUAUCUGCCAUCUGCUGGAGGGACGUGUGCUAGCACUGAUGAGGCUGGAAUGAUUUGGUCAGGUGGCCAAACACAGGAAAACUGAACUGAUAGGACUCCGGAAGAACCUGAGAAAGUGAAACUUAAUGUGACAUAACAGAGACUUUCAUAUGUUAUUUACCAGAGGGGAAAUGAGUCACGAAGUAAUCCAAUGGAAGAGGACUGGAGAUUUGGUUUAAGCCCUGACCAUUGCUCUGUACAGGAUCCCACACUGCUCUCAUUUUAGCUCAUAAACCCCACUAAAAACAUGUUUGUGUUCACAGCAUUUUGACAGAACAAUCCUCCUCUAUCCACUCUGCGGGUAUUUGCCAGAAACAGUGUUAAUAGCAUGCAGCAAUACUGCACAUUCAAAGAGAAAAGGGCCUCAGUCUUCUCUACUUUUUUUUUUUUUUAAUGUAAGUAAAAAAGUAUGUAAGUUAAACCUGGUGAUAAAACAUUUUAAAAGGGAAACAAACCCAAUGUUCCUGUAAUGUUAUUAAUAAUACAGAUGGCUGCUGUUACACAUAUAUAUGUUGCAUACAGAUUGACUUUUGCAAUAAAUUUCUCUGAGAUUUUCACAGAAAA
ensembl:lncRNA